rnacentral:rRNA from 1 species
CACGUAGGGCGCAAGCGUUGUCCGGAAUUAUUGGGCGUAAAGAGCUCGUAGGCGGUUUGUCGCGUCUGCCGUGAAAGUCCGGGGCUCAACUCCGGAUCUGCGGUGGGUACGGGCAGACUAGAGUGAUGUAGGGGAGACUGGAAUUCCUGGUGUAGCGGUGAAAUGCGCAGAUAUCAGGAGGAACACCCGUAGCGAAGGCGGUACUCUGGGCCGACACUGACACUGAGGAGCGAAAGCGUGGGGAGCGAACAGG